GGCGCGGCGAGUGUAGUUACCGAUGGUGGUGAUGACGGUGAUGGCGAAGUAGAAGGAGCCGGCGAAGCGCCACUGCACGCCGGCCUUGUGCGGCUUGAGGCGCAGCACGACGCGCUCCAGCUCCUCGUAGCCGCCCUCGCUGAGGUUGUAGCGCGCCCGCAGCUCCAGCUGCCGCAGCUCCAGCCGCUGCCGCUCGAUCAUCUCCGGCUCCGACUCCAGCGCGUCGAACACCGCGGCGCCCACCAGCAGAACUUCUGCAGUCUCACCCUCGAAGCAGAGACACGGGAUGGACUCAGCCAUUACUGAGAUCGCAGGCAGGCCAAUGGGACUUUUAUGAAAUGAGUUUUCCCCAAAGCAUUCAUGACUUUUCAAAAAGCUACAGUCUGGUGGUAUCCGGGUCCCAGAUUCAUCAAGGAAGUAGGACCAAGUACACACAGGCAUAUGCUGGUGCAGCGAGGGAUGGGGACACCCUGCCCUGUAGAGGAGGCCACAGACAACAACUGAAGCGACUGUCAUAGUUCUCAGUGAAGCAGGAUUCCAUUCGUGAUCAGUCUGACUCCAGCCUGUGCUUUUCCCUCUCGGCCACACUCCCUCACUAGAAAAUGACUGAGGGCAGAGCCAGGCAACAACAGGGGAAUCAGAACAGAAGGUGCUGUUAACGCUGGGCUGGCACACAGCUAGAGCUCAGAAAAAUGCAGUCACAUGAAUGAAUGAGGAGCUCUGAACGGAAGGCGCCAGGCAGGUCCAGGAAUCAGCAUCAGGGUUUACCAUAGCUGGACAGAUGCUCAGCUUCAGGUGGGAAGCAGGACCUAGAUGUGAGCAAGGCCCAGCAACUCUAGCUCACACAGGGGCUCAGAGAGACCAUCAGAGAACAGCUCUGGACCCAUUGAAGGUGGAGAUGAGGAAGGGAGGCAGAGCUUUCUUGGCACAGCACUCGGGCACCCAGCCCAGGCAGGGACUCAGAAGGUCUCCGUGUCUGUGCAGAGCCAAAGGAUAUUGUUGGGGCUUUGAGCUGGUUCCUGAAGAAGAACGGCGUAUCUGGGGCCCUCAGCGACUUGAAGGGGAUGGGGCCAUCCUACCCCUAUGGAUCAAGGUUGCCACGGGGAGGAAGGCUCAAGGUGGGGGUGGGAUAUCCAGGCCAUGAGCUGCAUAGAUCUCUGCUCAUCCAGAGAUGAUGUGUGUGGUCCAGUGAACCGUAGAAACCACAGCAUGUCGGGGAGACGGAGGUCAGCUGGGAGGCAGUGCUCAGGCAGAAGGGCACAGCACCAUCAGGGACAUGGAAAAAGUGAUGUCGUUAAGGAACAAUGUGAGCCAAAGGAAUGAGCUGGAACUGGCUGGAUCUGAAAGGACAAGUGGGAAAACGGCUGCCAGACGCCCAUGGGUGUCUGAUGAUGGCCUGCCACUACCUUUGGGUAGGGGCCGAGCCUCAGCCCCGAGGCUGAAAGUUACCCAACAGGCCUCAUGGUCCUUCUCUGCCUUUAACACCACGCCCUCCACCCCUUGGUCUGUUAAUCAAUGCAUGAUAAAUGGAGUCCUGAAAGACCUCCUGUCUUGACUGCACUGCCCUGAUUCUCCAGAGAAGAUUCAAGGAGGCAGCAGGAGGCUGACGACUGAGUUUUUGGUCAUGCAAGGUGGCCUGAGUCUCUUCCCUACCCCAGCUUCCAAGAGGGGAAGUCCUGACCUCUCUUCCCCAAGAAAAUGGGACAAGGAAGACACUGACUCGGGCUUCUCUUUCCUCCUUUGGUAAGAGCUGGACAAAACCAAUUUAACCCUAUAGCCCCAGAAGGAAGCUAGCCUGAGGCUGAGGAGGCCUGGCUGGGAGAGGGACUUCUUGGGUCUCUCCAGGAAUGGUGGACUGUGGAAAGACCGAGCAGGGGGUUCAGCAGCGCUGAGAAGUCUAGGAUCUGUCAGGCCCGAUGAAGGGAAGCCGUGUGGUGGGGACUGAGCUGAUCCACAGUCCCUAACAGGUGAUGAAGCAGCAAAGGCCUAGAGAGGGCCAGGGCCCAGCUAAUGGGACCCCAGUGUUGUUUCAUUGAGCUCGUCCCCCAUGUUGUUUCCUACUGAGAAAAAUGUUGUUUGUUGGGGUCAAAAUUUUAGGGACCAUGUUUACUGUGGAUGGGGGCCCUAACUAGUCUUCUGCUACUCUGUGAGAAUGCAACAUCUUCCUGGGGGGGGGGUUCACCUGGUAUUUGGGGGUAAAGGAGCUUGUAGGACUGAGGGAGUGGCUGUGAAGGGUAGCUGGUUCCCAGUGGCUUGGUUAGAGCAGACAAAUGGCUACCUCACGGCCUCCAUAUAAUUGCCUAUGGGACUGACAGAAAUGUGCAGACAUGUGCAUCCCCAACUCGGGGGUUUUCUGUAUCAUAUCUGUCCCUAUGUGGUUAUGCGGCCCUCCCCACUCCUCCACAGAAGACACAGAGCUUCAGGGCUUCCUCAGACAGUAGAUGGGCGUGGCAGUACCCACACAAUCCCUACAACACAUUGUGGUCUCUCUCCUCUCUGUACACACCAGAGUCCUCAUAAAUGUUGUAGUUGCCCCUCAGCUGCCAGACAGGUCCCCUAACGGCUCCCAUUAGCAAUCCUGUCUUGCCUCUUGUGUCUGAGCCUUUGUCUCUUGCUUCAGGCCAGCUAUCUUUCCAACAGCAGGGGGGAAGACAGAAAGGGACACUACUGGACAGAGGCUGAGACAGAGCGGGGAGCUGAAGCAUGGAGCUGGCCUGAGCCUGGGUCAGGUUCUGGACAUCCCUGUCCGCAGGUCCAGCACGUGAGCUCUAGUGCUGCAGGGGUAGGCAGCAGGCUCAGACUCAGGGCUCUGCUUUCUUAAGCUCCCAGCUGGGACUAGGAACACCAAAUCCUCUUUGAAUAAAACAGAAAAGGGAUUAAAAAAAAAAUCAAGACAUUAACCUUGUGAAACCAGACCCCCUCCCACUCCCACAUAGAGAUUAACUUCUUCCCCCUAGGCCUUUUUUUUUUAGUUUUCAUUUCUAUAAACAUCUUAAUUCAUGGCAACAUCACAGCCAGCCUGGAUUACAGAUGGAUGUAGAGGUGAAUGAACUAGUCACACACACACACACACACACACACACACACACACCUGGAGCAGGGGGAAAGAACAGUGAAUGAGAUGCUGAAGAGCUAGGAUUUAUUACUGGAGUUCACUUUCCUCACCCGUAAAGGGAGUAGUUAACCCUUCUCCCUCUGUGGACUCUGUCUCAUCUGAUGGUCCCUUCCAUCAGUGUCCUAUAUGAGGCCAGAGAGCCAGCUCCCACCCACACCCAUGGUGACACAACACACCAAGGAAAGGGUUCCCUUCAUCCCCAGCACUGGAUGCCACUUUCCUUUCUAUAUCACAGGUACCAGCAGGGCAGGCACAAGCUGCUACCGUCCCCUGCACCUGCUUAAAGACAGGUGCUCUACAGGUCUUUGUGAGUAAAUGAGUGGAUAAAUCUGGAAGUUGCUUUUUAAGUCACCUGGCAUGGGGCUCAGCAUCUUGCAUGAAAUCUGGACCCAAAUCUUGAAAUAGGGUCACUCUCCUCUUGGGGUGAGGAACACCUGACCUUUCUGGAAAGUUCUUUCCAUUUCCCUCCUGACUCCUGAGUCUCAAAGCCUCGUUUCUUUUGAAGCCUUCCUCCGACUUGACAGCAGCAGCAUCCCAAUCAAGCAACAGAUUUCCGACGCACGUUCUCCGUUCUUCCUCCCACCUUCGCCUGACAAGACGGAUCAUUUCCAUCCCUUGAUUAUGUUUUGGUUUGAGGCUUCAGCCAGCUGCAGUGAUUCUCAACUCUGGGUGGCAGUGGAGAGGAGGGUCAUUAUGGGGAAGCCUUGCCUCAGGAGACCAGGAGACAGGUGCUGGGUUCCUCCAUGGUUUUGAGGCUGGGGUAAAGGUGGAACUCUUGCAGUGGUCUGGCUCUGGUUGGAUCAAAGGCUCAGGGGAAUCCCACUUGGCUUUCAUUUUGGUCAGCAUUCCUUAAAGUAUACUCAGAGACCAAGGUCUCUUGAGGUGUUCUGUGGAAGCCCUGGUUCAGAUACAUUUGGAGGAACUCAGUUGCACUCAGCCUUUGAUUGCAAGCUGCAAAAGUCAACUCGCCUAAUUUAAGCUCAGAAAGGAUUUAUCCCCAAAGACCUUGGAGAGUUCAGAGAACCUCCUGUAGGAGCAGAAAGUCAAGGUCAGAAGGGAAGCAGCCAGUGGCAACACUCAAUGCCACAUGUUAGGACUGAUCCCAGGAAGGCCGCCCUGCUGCACAGAUAAAGAACCUGGGCCACAGCUCUGCCAGCACAGCCGCUACUCACACGUCUGUGCAACACGUUCUGCAGAGUCCUUUCGUUUCUACACUUGAUCCUUCCGGGAGAAUGCAUCUGAUUAGUGGAGUGGAAUCAUGGACUUCCUUCCUAGGUAAAGAGAAGCUGGACGAUGUCUCUAUUCAGCUCCUGUAGCUGAAGGCAACCUCUGCCUCUUCACACAAGGGCGUGGUGGUUUGAAUGAGAAUGGCCCACUUAGGCUCAUCAGUUUGAAUACUUGGUCCUCAAUUGAUUGAACUGCUUGGGAAGGAUCAGGAGGUGUGACCUUGUUAGAAGAGAUGUGUCACUGGGGGUGGGAUUCAAAGGCAGGUCAUGUGCUAUUCCACCUGAGUUCUCUGUUUCCUGCUCAUGGAUCUCUCAGCAGUUGCUCCAGGUGCCUCUAUUCCACUAUCAAGGACCCUAACCCUCUGGAACUGUAGGCCCAAAAUAAACCCCUCCUUCUAU